rfam:Nicotiana attenuata strain TT chromosome 11, whole genome shotgun sequence.
AUGCCAUGGUGUGGACACUUAACCAGUAUCCCUUUGAACCUCUCCCACGUUUAUUGCAAUGUUUCAACUGGUUUCUGCUUGAAGCUCAAUAUUUCAUCAACUUGUUU